ACUUCAGGUAUUGUCUCUAUCGAAUAAUGAAUUUGAUGGACCGAUACAUAGUGAAAUUGGGAUGUUAAGUAACUUACAGACUAAUAUAUCUUGGUUUUAACCGUUUCACAGGGGAAAUACCACAGGAAAUUGGGGAUCUUGUUAAUUUGGUGAUGAUAGGCAUGGAGAGAAACCAGCUUACAGGCUCUAUACCCAAGUCCAUAUUCAAUAUUUCCUCACUACAACUUCUGUCACUGCAAAGCAACAAUCUUACUGGAUCCUUAUCGAGGGAGAUUGGAAAUCUUACUAUGCUUCAAGGUCUAUAUCUUGGUGAAAACAUGCUUUCAGGUGAAAUACCAAAAGAGCUAAGCAAUCUCAUUGAGUUGGUGGACUUUGUUUUGGGGAGUAACAGAUUCAGUGGUUCAUUUCCUAUGGGGAUUUUCAAUAUCUCAGGACUGAGAUUGAUUGAUCUUACAGAUUGUACUCUAUCAGGAACCCU